GUGAGGAAUUUUGGGCAAUGGGCGAAAGCCUGACCCAGCGACGCCGCGUGGGUGAUGAAGGCCUUCGGGUCGUAAAACCCUGUGAGCCGGAAAGAAGCCGGUGGGUGCUAAUACCACCCCCCGGUGACGGUACCGGCAGAGGAAGCCCCGGCCAACUACGUGCCAGCAGCCGCGGUAAUACGUAGGGGGCAAGCGUUGUUCGGAAUUACUGGGCGUAAAGCGCGUGUAGGCGGUCCGAUAAGUCGGAAGUGAAAGCCCUCGGCUCAACCGGGGAACUGCUUUCGAUACUGUCGGACUUGAGUGUGGGAGGGGAGAGCAGAAUUCCCGGUGUAGCGGUGAAAUGCGUAGAUAUCGGGAGGAAUACCGGUGGCGAAGGCGGCUCUCUGGACCAUUACUGACGCUGAGACGCGAAAGCGUGGGGAUCAAACAGGAUUAGAUACCCCAGUAGUCC
rnacentral:rRNA from 1 species